GUGCUCAUUUCAGCAGCACAUAUACCAAAAUCGGAACAAUACUAGUAAGAUUAGCAUGGCCUCUGCACAAAGAUGACACACAAAUUCGCGAAGCCUUCCCUAUUUUG
rnacentral:snRNA from 1 species